CAGCCCACUCACUCCUCUCGGUAUCUCUCACUCUCAUCUCAACGACUCAACGCCUCUCUCUGAGUCUCUGACUCUCUCAACGUCUCUCUCUCUCACUCUCAGCGUCUCUCUCGCUCAAGUUGGGCCACUCAAAACCCCAUUUUCCUUCAGCUUUGCAUCAUUCAUCAUCUCUUGCAGUACUACCAGUGGAUACAAGGAAGGAAAGGCAGCUGGAAUGGCUUCUUUGCAACACACAAGUAUCAAUACCACAGUUUUAUGCAAAAAAGGGGCGAUUUCCGUAAUGGGUGUUUCGGCUCUUCUGUCGUCACUAUCGAGGUUCAGAACCAUUGUGGGUUUUGCGAGAGGUAAAGUUGAUAGUUCUUAGUGGAGAUUUAUAUACAUCAUGAAUUGGAAUUUGGUUUCGUUCUAGUUAGGGCUGAUAAAAAACCCAGGCUGCUUGAGUUCGAGUUGGUGCUUGUUCCUUAAAAGCUCGUUCAAGAUCAGUUUGGUACAUAGAUAAAGCAAGCUUGAACAUUUUUCUAAAGCUCAUUUAAGCUUUCAUAGCAAGCUCAAAAAAGCUACUACUCGGCUCCUUUGGCUUGUGAUGUAUAAAAAUUUCCGAGAUACUCGAGAUCGUCUAUGGCUCGAUAAAGCUCGUUCAAGAUCGGCUCAUCGCAUAAACAAGCUUAAAAUUGAACAUGUUUUGAAGCUCGUUAAGUUUCAAAUCAAACUCGAACAAUUAACUGUUCGACCCAUUUAUGACCCCCAAUCCCAACGAAAUGAUGUGUAUAUCUAAAUCUGCUCGUUGGGAUCUAUUCUGUAAAUAUUCUCUGUGGGAUUGGGCACUUAGUGUAUUUUUUUUGUUGUUUUAUAAUGUUGGAGUAAUCUAAAUUUGCUUAUUGGGUACUGCAUUUCAAUUAAACACCCCGCAAGUUGUUUACUGCUUGCUCUUGUAUCACUUUGCGCAACUCUGUUCUAUGGCUCAAUUUAUGCAGUGCACAAUGGCAAUCAGUAUCCAAACGUUAUCAGACUUGAUUCAGAAUUGCCAUUGAUCUGUGCUCCUCAAAGCCGGUAAGAUGGGAUCUGUACUACUCGUACCAAAGCCGGUAAGAUGGGACAAAGCCCUUCUCUUCUUUGGGUUUUUUGUGUGGGUGUGAUUGCAAUACUCGGUGAAUGAAGCGGUUGCGGGUUGAAACAAGUAUGUUGCGGUUGUUGGGUGCGUUUGGGCACCAAGUCUUUGAUGUUAUUCCUCAAAGAAAUUGAUACUGAAAAUUUUUUUUUUCAUUUUUCCCGUUGUGGUUUCAUGUCUAAUGCAUAGCUUUCAAUCUUUAUUUUGAUUGCCGGGGAGGAAACAUCAUAUGAAAGAGAUAGAAUAGUUCUACGAGCUCAUUCACUGGCUUGUAAGGAAAGCCAUGUAUUUGGGUUCUUCCAGGAUGGGACCAUGUCAUCCAUGUUAGUUGCAGCCACGAGAAUUAGGAACUUUUCACUUUCAGUACAACUAUUUAAUGGUGCUUAUCUGAAUGACACAUGACAAAAUCAUUUUAGGUGAAAA